rnacentral:rRNA from 1 species
UAAUACGGAGGGCGCAAGCGUUGUUCGGAAUCAUUGGGCGUAAAGCGGGUGUAGGCGGCUUGGCAAGUCGGGUGUGAAAUCCCUGGGCUCAACCCAGGAACUGCACUCGAAACUGCUUCGCUAGAGUCUCGGAGAGGGUGGCGGAAUUCCCGGUGUAGAGGUGAAAUUCGUAGAUAUCGGGAGGAACACCAGUGGCGAAGGCGGCCACCUGGACGAUGACUGACGCUCAGACCCGAAAGCGUGGGGAGCAAACAGGAUUAGAUACCCUGGUAGUCCACGCCGUAAACUUUGGGUGCUCGACGUAGCGGGUAUUGACCCCUGCUGUGUCCAAGCUAACGCAGGAAGCACCCCGCCUGGGGAGUACGGUCGCAAGACUA